CCCGCACAAGCGGUGGAGCAUGUGGUUUAAUUCGAUGCAACGCGAAGAACCUUACCUGGGCUUGACAUCCCGAGAAUCCCCUGGAAACAGGGGAGUGCCCUUCGGGGAGCUCGGAGACAGGUGCUGCAUGGCUGUCGUCAGCUCGUGUCGUGAGAUGCUGGGUUAAGUCCCGCAACGAGCGCAACCCCUGCCCUUAGUUGCCAUCGGGUCACGCCGGGAACUCUAAGGGGACCGCCCCGGACAACGGGGAGGAAGGUGGGGAUGACGUCAAGUCAGCAUGGCCUUUAUGUCCAGGGCUACACACGUGCUACAAUGGUUGGUACAAAGGGUUGCCAAGCCGUGAGGCGGAGCCAAUCUCAAAAAGCCAAUCUCAGUUCGGAUUGUAGGCUGCAACUCGCCUACAUGAAGUCGGAAUCGCUAGUAAUCGCGGAUCAGCACGCCGCGGUGAAUACGUUCCCGGGCCUU
rnacentral:rRNA from 1 species